GUCCACGCCCUAAACGAUGUCUACUAGUUGUUGGUGGAGUAAAAUCCAUGAGUAACGCAGCUAACGCGUGAAGUAGACCGCCUGGGGAGUACGGUCGCAAGAUUAAAACUCAAAUGAAUUGACGGGGGCCCGCACAAGCGGUGGAUUAUGUGGAUUAAUUCGAUGCAACGCGAAAACCUUACCUGGCCUUGACAUGUACGGAACUUUCCAGAGAUGGAUUGGUGCUCGAAAGAGAGCCGUAACACAGGUGCUGCAUUGCUGUCGU
rnacentral:rRNA from 1 species